AAUAAUUAUGUUUUGUUAUCAUUCUUACAUUGGUAGCUAUAAUAGAUUUAUUAUUCACAUCCCUGAGAAAAGCUCUCAUACUUGUUAGACUUUGGAGCUGCAGCUGUGUACAGACCUUGAAGCUGCAGCCACUUGUAUCUUCGGGAUACUCCUAUCUGCCUCCCUCCACAUUCCUUUUUCUACUUUCUACUUUGUAAUAAAAGAGAAAGCCCUAACAAAGGGUCUUCAGAGUGCUCAGUGAACGGCUGGAAGCAGCAGUUUGCUGGUUCUCUCCUUUUGCAAAAGCUUUCAUAAAAUUCACUUGCGUUGUCUGUUUGUCCUUCUAUUUAGAUUCACAAAUACCUAUCAUUUUGGUGCCGUGACCCGGAUCUCGCAUUUUGUUCGCUGACAGAUGAAGAACGACGCGCUGAAACCGUGCACGGCCAGAGUCAUUAGGACUUGGAGAGAAAGACUCAGGAAGUGAAUUCUUCGCCAGGCCAGCGCCUUAGGUCCGACUUUGCCUGCCAGCGGCGGGACUGCCGAGAUCCGACCGAACAGUCCAACUGGUUCUCCUCCCUGAGGUGCGUCUGACCUCUGACCUCAACUCAAACCAGUCUUGCCAUGGCCGAGAUGAUGUCCCUCCCCCCUCACCAGCUAAUGACAGUGAUAAAGAAGACAAAGAAGAGAUCUGCUGAUCCUAAUUUUCUGACACCAGGAACUGUCAUUGAGCAACUACUACAUGGAGUCCUGCUAGACAUUUGGUCUGAAACUACAUUCCUGUGUUUGGGUGCAACUGAACUCUUACAACCUCCACUGGUCUUCUCCCUGACAUCAGCGUGGAGAAGGAAGGAUAAUGUGCUUCAGAGACAACAAACUGAACUGUUUGACCCUUGUUUCAUUUGUGGACAGCAUGGACAUUGCGUGAGGGACAGCCUGCAGCGACGCCAGCAGCAGGAGGAGGAGGGAGAAAUGAGCUCAUCCAAGAUAAUAAGUGUUAUACACAUACACAACUGUUGUACACUGCUACUGCAAUGAAGACUUGCUUGCUUUAUAACCCUGUUCACAUAUUAUCUAGCCAGAAAAGAAAGUCUUAACGGCUUUUAUGUUCAAUGAUAGACAAAUUCUCUCAGUUUGUCCCUUUUAACUCUGAGUCCUGAACAGCAGGGCCACUGCUAAGGAUCCUCUUAGGGUCCAUGAGCCACAGGUUGGGAAACCGUGAAGAGAAAACUGCAAUCGCUAAAAGUUUAUCAAAGAACUAAUGGAAAUUAUGCCACUAAAUUACACCAGCUAAAAAUGAUCAAAGAUUCUAAGCUAAUAAUUAUUUACAAAAGUUUUCGUUUUCUUUUUGAGCAAAGGACAACAAUGAAAGCAGACUAUAAAUUUGUGGCUGAAAAUCUGAUUAAUUUUUAUGUUUUUGUUUGUCUCGCAUUACGUUGAUGGAAAUGAGUGUGAUUAUGGGAGCAAACAGAUUGCACUCAAGAACCGAGUAACUGAUCAAAUUAUUAUUUAAAUCAUAAAAAUUACUUUGUCAACUGGUCUGAAAUGCAAGGUUAAAUUAAAUUGUGAUAUUUUAUCUAACUAGUUACUCCAAAUUGAUGUUUGUGAAUGAACAUAAUGUUUUCUAGAUAACGCUUAAAACCUUUAAUCCAAGGUUGAUUGAUUGAUGAUCAUUAAAUUCAUAAAGGAAUAUUGAAUUAGAGGAUUUGAGAUUUUGGCUUAAUUUCAGAAUGGUAAUUUUCAUGUAAAAGGGUAAUAACAUUGUUCUGCAGCAGAGCCAACUCUGGGUUGUGCCUUCUGUCAGGAGUAAAACAAAAGUGCUUCACCUUGAUGAAUUUGAUAACAUCCAUAUGUAAGAUCUUUAACAAAAUGCCUCUUUGCUAACAGCUAUCCUUCAAGCAAUACAACUGCUAGCUAAAACUAGCAGGGUGCAAAAUGAAUGAUGAGGAAAUUUUUCAAGUCAAUAACAAACCAGUUCUCCCAAAGUCUUUAUCUAAAGCAGCCGCAAUUGUGGCACAUGGGCGAUGCCAUGUGUCAACAGGGGGAAUAGUGGGGAUAAUACUACAGUAUUUCACAACAUAUGGACUAAAUUCUUAUCUAAAAAUUUUUUGUUCUGCAUACUUUGUGUUAGACACAAUCCACAAGGGAACACAAGGCCAAAAGAGGAACUUUCCCAAAACCUUCUUAUCCAUUUCAAACAAUGCAAACAAAUAUUGUUUGGUAAUUAUUGAUGCUUUUUCUAAAUGGGUUGAAAUAGUUCUAGCAAAACAUCCAGAUGCUUUGACAGUAGCUAAAGCUUAUGUAAAACUAUUAUUCCAAUACCACAAACCAUCUAUACUGAAAAUUAGAUUAAAGAAAAUGUAUGGAACACCGUGGUUAAAAUGUUUAGAUUUGGUAAGGUUGUACAUGAGAAUUACACCCACACAAGAAGGAUUAACACCAUUUGAAAUAAUUCAUGGCACACCAUACAGAUUACCUAUAUUUUCACCAGAUUUGCAACAUGCAGAUGAGGAGCAAACACUGGCAGAUUACGUGAUCAGGACUCUGAAACAGAAGGAGGUGUCAAAUGCAAAUUUACUGCCCUCUGACUCUCCUCUCCCACAGGAAACCACUCCCACCAAGCCAGGAGACUGGGCGUUUAUCAAAGUCAUAAAGAGGAAGAGCUGGGCCAGCCCGCGGUGGGAGGGACCAUUCUAAGUGCUGAUAACAACUCUAACUGCUGUAAAGAUUGCUGAACGACCCAGCUGGAUUCAUCUCAGUCACUGUAAGUUGCAGAGAGUGUUGGAAGCCUAGGUGGGACCAGGUGGGAGUCCACCUUCACAGGGGUUUGGCUUUUUAGGGUCACUUGUCUCAACGGUGGUGAAGAAAUCAUCAACCCCCUGUUCUAUAGAGUCCUAGGUACAUUCUAACAUCUCUGUAAUCUGAGCAGCAAUGGGAUUCUCACAGGCCAGGUGGAAUCUCUGCUGCGCUGUGACUGCAGCAUGUUUUUUGUUCUGGAGUGGAAGCUGCCUCAGCCUCCACAAGAUAAGGAGAGAAGCACAAACACUCUUCCCCCAGUCUCAUCCACAUGACUGCAGCACUAACCUGUGGUGGCAACUAAUGAACAGGACUGCUCAUGAGGUGAACUGCUAUGUGUGUGCACAGCUGCCCUACGCCACACACAACUCAGGCCUUCGACCAGGUAACAUCACUGAUGACAAACAGAUGUGUCUCUAUGGCCUGAGCACACACCCAAGGUGCAGCAUCCCCAUACCAAAGGGCUGCAGAUGGUGCAAAAAGGACUAUUCUUUUUCACUUCGGACAGGAGCUGCCGCUAAAGGACUUUUUGGAGCUAUGAACUGUUGUUCACUUGCUGCUGAUGUUCUUCCAUUUCCACAGACUGUGAUGAGAAUACCAGAGACCAUUUCCUUGGCAGGAGCCGAACCAGGGUCUCUCAGGAGCUGCAUUUACAACACUGGAACUACAACACUAGGAAUGCUCCCAUGGAACCUGUGUAACACAGUUUACACCUUCUGCGAAACAACACUGGAAUUCGUCGCCUGCAGAGGUCAGGAGCCAACCCCAGAACACAGCAUCUGGAACGACAAUCCAAACUGUCACAAUUUGCUUCAGGAAAGGAGGUUCGUUCGACAUCACUCAGCAGACGAGAGGACGACAGAAGAAAGCUCGUUGCAGCGCCAUAGUGCCAGGAGACUAUGGUCAAUGGGUGAUGGCUGACUGGUACUUCCUGUGCGGACAUGGAGCUUACAUGUUUUUGAAAACCGUGUUGUAUUGGCUUUUCUCACAACCUCUCAAGGAAGCGUCUGCAAGAUCAUAGGUUCAACAUGAGAUGAAAGAGGAACUGGUGGAACUAUUCAUGAUGCCCUGCAUGAUUUGGAAGAGCUUAAGAACUAUGUGGACAGUGCAACUCAGGGCUCACAAACUUUUGACUUUCUUUCUUGGCUGACCUCCAGAAUCUGGUGGCAGCUUUUGUUUAAGAAACACCCAUCUUGACUGGACUGAUCCUAUUCUGUCUGUUCACAACCUGCAUCAUUUCAUGUUUUCAAAGCAUGCUGUUAAAGACAUUUAACACUGCUCUGCUCAGCUAUCAGUUGGUCAGGGUAAUCUCUGACACAGAUGAGGACUACAUGUUGCUCCAGAAGAAAGAAGAUGACUGGAAAAUGAGUACAUAUGAUGAUGUCUUGUAAAUUAAUAAACAGAUUAAAUCAUUUGCUUGAUGACUCCUACACUGAAAAUGUGAAAACAAAUGGUGUUAGUGAUGAUAACUGCACUUGAUUUUCUGCUGUUUGUUUGUUUUUGGGUUGUUGUUUUUUUCUGUGUUCUCAUUCUUACAUUCAACAUUAUUAUAUUAUUAACACCACAUUAUAUGCAUUUGGUUUUCAAUGUUUCUUUUACAUUUCUUUUUUCUAUCCUUCUUAUAUUAUAUAUUAUGUAUUCUUCAACUCUUGUAUAACAUGUGUCAUCCAUUCUUUUUCUUUUUAUACUAUUUUUUGCAUAGUUAUUACGUAAGAAUUAUAAACAGGGGGAAAUGUUAGAAUAAUUAUGUUUUGUUAUCAUUCUUACAUUGGUAGCUAUAAUAGAUUUAUUAUUCACAUCCCUGAGAAAAGCUCUCAUACUUGUUAGACUUUGGAGCUGCAGCUGUGUACAGACCUUGAAGCUGCAGCCACUUGUAUCUUCGGGAUACUCCUAUCUGCCUCCCUCCACAUUCCUUUUUCUACUUUCUACUUUGCAAUAAAAGAGAAAGCCCUAACAAAGGGUCUUCAGAGCGCUCAGUGAACGGCUGGAAGCAGCAGUUUGCUGGGUUCUCUCCUUUUGCAAAAGCUUUCAUAAAAUUCA